UUAGACAGCAUGAUCUACAGAUACGAUGAUUGACAGGAUGAAAUGAAUGAGCAAACUUCAUUUAGAAGCUCAUUUAAAUACAGGAUCGGUUCAUUUGCAUAUUGAUCAGAUGCUUCAGUGCUCUGAGAGUGUUUAUAGUGCUGUGAGUUUAACACUUCAUCACUGACACACACAACAAUCUUCAUCAACAUGACCUUCAUCAUCAUCUUCAUCUGGACUCUCACAGCGUUUGCUCAAGAGUGUAGAGGACAGAUCAGCGUCACUCAGAGUCCCUCAACAGCAGCUCAACCAGGAGAAACAGUGAAGAUCAGCUGCAAAACCAGCAAAGAUGUGUACAGAUGGGAUGAUGGAGAUGAAGGUUUAUUCUGGUACUUACAGAAACCUGGAGAAGCUCCUAAACUCCUGAUUCGUUACGUAAAAAAGCUUGAGUCAGGAAGUCCAUCUAGAUUCAGUGGCAGUGGAUCUAACAGUGAUUUCACUCUGACCAUCAGUGGAGUCCAGACUGAAGAUGCUGGACAUUAUUACUGUCAGAGUUUUCACUGCAGAACAGAUUCUGAUGGUGAUUGUGUGGGUGAUCUUGUGUUCACACAGUGAUAAAGCGUGGUACAAAAACCUGUGUCAGUCAGAGUCACAGUGACUGAACUGAUGCUGCAGCUGCUCAAACACUAUCACUCACUACUGACACACAGAGACCAAACACAGAACUACACAUGAGCUCACAACUGAGUCA